rnacentral:rRNA from 1 species
UUGGAGGGCAAGUCUGGUGCCAGCAGCCGCGGUAAUUCCAGCUCCAAUAGCGUAUAUUAAAGUUGUUGCAGUUAAAAAGCUCGUAGUUGAAUUUCGGGAUCAAGGGAUCGGUCAUGCCUUGGUAUGUACUGGUCAUAUUGGUUCUCACCUUCUAAGGAACCAUAAUGUCAUUCAUUUGAUGUUUUGGGGAAUUAGGACUGUUACCUUGAAAAAAUUAGAGUGUUUAAAGCAGGCUCACGCUUGAAUACAUUAGCACGGAAUAAUGAAAUAGGACAUCGCAUUCUAUUUUGUUGGUUUCUAGGAUCGAUGUAAUGAUUAAUAGGGAUAGUUGGGGGCAUUAGUAUUCAAUUGUCAGAGGUGAAAUUCUUGGAUUUAUUGAAGACUAACUACUGCGAAAGCAUUUGCCAAGGAUGUUUUCAUUAAUCAAGAACGAAAGUUAGGGGAUCGAAGACGAUCAGAUACCGUCGUAGUCUUAACCAUAAACUAUGCCGACUAGGGAUCGGAUGAUGUUGAUUUUUUAAUGACUCAUUCGGCGCCUUACGGGAAAC